UACGUAGGGUGCAGGCGUUAAUCGGAAUUACUGGGCGUAAAGCGUGCGCAGGCGGUUUGCUAAGACAGGUGUGAAAUCCCCGGGCUUAUCCUGGGAACUGCGCUUGUUACUGGCAGGCUUGAGUGUGGCAGAGGGGGGUGGAAUUCCACGUGUAGCAGUGAAAUGCGUAGAGAUGUGGAGGAACACCGAUGGCGAAGGCAGCCCCCUGGGCUAACACUGACGCUCAUGCACGAAAGCGUGGGGAGCAAACAGG
rnacentral:rRNA from 1 species